AGGACGAACGCUGGCGGCGUGCCUAAUACAUGCAAGUCGAGCGAACCAAUAAGAGCUUGCUUUUGUUGGUAGCGGCGGACGGGUGAGUAACACGUGGGUAACCUGCCUGUAAGACCGGGAUAACUCGGGAAACCGGUGCUAAUACCGGAUAGAUUAUCUUUCCGCCUGGAGAGAUAAGGAAAGAUGGCUUUUGCCAUCACUUACAGAUGGGCCCGCGGCGCAUUAGCUAGUUGGUGAGGUAACGGCUCACCAAGGCGACGAUGCGUAGCCGACCUGAGAGGGUGAUCGGCCACACUGGGACUGAGACACGGCCCAGACUCCUACGGGAGGCAGCAGUAGGGAAUCUUCCGCAAUGGACGAAAGUCUGACGGAGCAACGCCGCGUGAGUGAAGAAGGUCUUCGGAUCGUAAAGCUCUGUUGGUUAGGGAAGAACAAGUAUCGGAGGAAAUGCCGGUACCUUGACGGUACCUGACGAGAAAGCCACGGCUAACUACGUGCCAGCAGCCGC
rnacentral:rRNA from 1 species